AUCCAGCUGACGAGUCCCAAACAGGACGAAACGCAUGUCCUGGAU
rfam:Schistosoma mattheei strain Denwood, Zambia genome assembly, scaffold: SMTD_scaffold0024903